CAAUAGCGUAUAUUUAAGUUGUUGCAGUUAAAAAGCUCGUAGUUGGAUUUCGGAUGGGACUUGCCGGUCCGUCGUUUCGAUGUGCACUGGCCAGUCCUAUCUUGUUGUCGGGGACUAGCUCCUGGGCUUCACUGUCCGGGACUAGGAGCUGACGAGGUUACUUUGAGUAAAUUAGAGUGUUCAAAGCAAGCCUACGCUCUGAAUACAUUAGCAUGGAAUAACACGAUAGGACUCUGGCUUACCUUGUUGGUCUGUGAGACCAGAGUAAUGAUUAAGAGGGACAGUCGGGGGCAUUCGUAUUUCAUUGUCAGAGGUGAAAUUCUUGGAUUUAUGAAAGACGAACUUCUGCGAAAGCAUUUGUCAAGGAUGUUUUCAUUAA
rnacentral:rRNA from 1 species